rnacentral:rRNA from 1 species
CGACGGGUUGAUCGGGGGCACCCGCAGACGAUGAGAAGAGGACAGUAUAUGCUAAAAGAGAGGGGACCCGCCGCCGCUUCCCUUCCCUUCUCUCCCCUCGCUGCCGCCCUACCGCUCGCACAUGUAUGGCCACGUCCCCUGCCUCCUCCUCCACGCCCACCGCGACCUGGUGGAGGGGCGGCUGCGGAGGCUGUAGGAGCUGUAGGAGUUCCGGCUCGUUCGAGGCGAGGUGGAGACCGAGUAGUAGCGCUCUCUUAUGAAGUUCGUUCCCUUCGAGCUUGUCAAGGCCGUCUAAAAUCUCCUUCCUAGACCGGGUCUUUAGCUACUAAUAAUACGACUACACUUCAUACUCGCCUAUCGAUAGGAAUUACGAAACCCGCGAAAAGUAUGAAAGAACCCUUUCCGACUCUUUCGUGGUGUCUUCCUUCACGUAAAGUUUCUACGCUGAGUCAUGAUGUUAUCCCGCAGCUCCUAUCUACUUUGACUUGGAAGAUGGACCUAACCUUCUCCAGUUGAGACGCACCGGUUCCCACUCAACGUUUACCGUAGACUGAGUAAGUUCUAACAAAACCUACUCCUACCCCUAUUAAAGGGUCGGGAAGAACCAGUCCGAAGACAAAUAAAGGACUACCCACUAUGCCUUGUUGUUGUGUUCUUUCGAAACCUUACAAUAUUCUUGAGUGAUCUUGAGAUAUUCUCUCGAGACGCCCCUAUACGUCUAACAGGACGACGACAUUCCGAACCAUAUCGAAAAACAGCUAUGUUUGAACCAGUCGAUCUGUCCCGGGCUGUUCGAAAACUAUCUCAGAAUGUCAACCUGGGACUUUUGAAACUACGCGAUCAUCGUGAGCGCUAGUACCUAAACGUUUGUUUACUUCGACCACUUUAAGCGUCACCCUACCUCUUUUACUCUUCUCGGAAACUUUAAAUAGGAAUAACGUGAAACCGUGAGUUGGUGGACCGGUUGGUAAUAAAGAAAUGACCGGUCGUAAAACACCAACUCGUUGACUCACUCUGACGAGACAGAAGUUCGUCAGUACCUGAUGACUUUAGUGUUAGGAUGAUAUUGAAUCGGUCUAGUAUGGUAUCAUUCCCACUAAAACUCUGACGACCUGCCAUAAUAUACCGUAGACAGUUUCUUCAGUUAUUUGGCGUUCUGAAACACAACGGUAAACAACCGGAACCAGUUUAUGUUAAUUUUAAGCCACUGAAGUUUGCAAGGAAUCGAUCGAAGCUCUUUCACGACCUCCAUGUGGGGCUUUUAACACUUUCAAACUUCCGAUAACCCUUGUAGAUACGUUUGAACCCACUCUUACUGUUUCGGUAUCUUUGGAAAUUCUUCCAAUGUGCCUAACUAGGUUUUCUAGUGGUCCGUAAACAACUUGAGCCACUUAACAACCAUCUUAGACUAACCCGACGACGGUACCUUAUGAAUUUCUGUCGUACGUGAGAGGAUUCCUUCCGUCCUCUCUUUUAUGGCCAACUUAACGAGUUACCUUAACCUGAAGAAAUAAAACUCUUCCGUCUCAAACUCAACCGACUCGUUUCAAAAUUCCUUCGAGAUCCUCUGCCAUAGACCCAAAGUUAAUACCUACCCUGACGACCAUCAAGGUAUCGUUUGACCUCACACGUCAUGUCCCUAGUCUCAAAAAAAGUGGUUGAACUUCUUUUGCAUAGAGAACUUAAUGGGACGCUAUUUCAGUGGUGUAACAAAUUGAUACGUUCUAAUAACCUUCUCGAAGUACUAUGACACUUUCGGUCGGAGGAAAUGGCAGAGUAAUAAAAGUUCAUGGGUCUGAUGUAACUACGGAUAGACUCCAAUCCCAGAUAACGUUUUCUUUUUUUGUUAUAAGUUGACUCGUAACUCGACUAUCCACUACGAGAUUUCUAUUUAUCAUUCAUAGGUUUACGUGACAGAUACGAACCUUCAGAACUUGAAGUCUCACUACUUUGGACCGAGUGACGCUUCCUUGUAAAGGCACUACGAUUUCUACGAUGACUGCCUUUUCUGGGUAUGAGAACCGAAGUCGACCCGUUGACCUUGAUGAAACGACGGUUAGCGGGACUCUUUUUCCGGGGCUUUAAGCUCCGGUGAGUAGCCCUCUUUCGUUUCCUUGAAAAAAACUUACAUGAUUUCGUCUUGGUACCAUUAUACAAACGACGUUUACCAGAACCUUAGAAUGUACGACUCUUUAGGGUUACCCUAUAACGCUUCCUCAAUAAAUGUGUCCAUGUACUUCGACGUAGUCCUUCAUAUAAACAAGUCCAUGGACUACAUACCUAGUUAAACCGGGUGUAUAUAAAACGAGUUCCGGAAAAGGUUGUUCGUCAAUUUUACAUGGUUUUGACACGUGCCUUCAAGAAGAUGUUGUGUCUACGUUGAUGUGAGGAUAUGGAAAGGGCUUGUGUAAUACUUCGACUCGUUACCGUUCUGACGGCCUUUAGAAACGACUCUCGAUAUGUAAACCGAGGUAGUUUAAUAAAUAAUGCCAAAUUACAACCGCAAAGUUACGUCUUCAAAAGACGAAGAUGAGAUGUCUUCUGUUUUGCUUGUCAACUACUCCAAGCACGUUGUCAGAGACUCGAAGUCUUGCGGUAAUCUCACAAGUCAGAUAACAGACAACGUAGUUGCAUGGUAAGGGUACCAAAACUACUCUCCUUUUAUCUUUGGGUACAGCUCAUAACGUCUGUGAACGAACUACGACGAUUCCAAGUAGCACUACGGCGACUUGUUCGACUCUUCGUUUGGUUCGUUUUUAACCUUCAAUGGGCAGUUUAACGAAAUCGACUACUUCGAGCGGCCGCCCGACUUCUUGUUUCCUUUAAGGUCAAUCUUUCUUCCUUCGUUCUCCUGCUUAAUUUCGUUCAUUACGUUGUCCUCGUCGUGAAACUCGCACAGUUCCUUGUUACCUUUUGUAGGUUGUUGUGGGGACCAUUCUCUUUUCUAUCCAGGUCCGUACUUCUACUUCUACCCCUGUCACCCUUCUUCUCCUCCUUCCCACCGUUCUCUUCCUUCCUAGUCUUCUGUUUCUACGUUAUGCUUCUACUACUUCUUCUAGUUAUGUCUUUACUUGGUCUCCUUCUACUAAUACGUUUGUACAGUUCCCUAGGACCGCCACUAUCUGGUCUCUUUCGGGGUCUAGUGGAAGAACGCCGACGACCAGAACUCCUAAGACUGCGGCUUCUACUUUGCCCAGUAGGAGUUAGGCACUAUCUCGCCUUCUCUGCUCGUACCAGUCUUAGACUGCUGCUCCUUGGUCACGUCGCUAGUCACGUUGGAUGGUCGGGUCCAGGCUUACUAGACUCACUUACUUUAUUCAUCUUCCUGUUUCGAGCGAGAACUGUCACUACUAUGUAAUCCAAUACUACAACAACAUCUUCAGGGUUGUCAAAUUAAAUGAAAACCCGACAUUGUUUUAUUAAAGACACCAUCAAAAAAAAAACCCUCCCUUAAGCGUCAUCAAGAUCUCGAUUCUUUUCUAUUUGGAAUUCCCGGUACAAACGGGUAUGAUUGGCUUCGUGACAUAGGUUAAGUACUGUGCAAAGAUGCAAUAGGACAUCAUACAAAAUACUGAUAGGACAGAAAAGACCA